UUGAUCCCUUUUUCUCUCUCACUAUCGAUGCUAUAAAUACAACCUCAGCUGUACCCCAUUUGGCCAAACCUUGUCCAUGUCAAAGAAGAUGAGUUCAAAACACGCUACUCUCUACUACUGCCUUCUCUUAGUGCUCUUGCUACACGCAGAUCAUACUUCUGCGACCUUGGCCGGUUCGUAUUGCUCAUAUCUCUCUUUCAUUGUUUCCUAACUUAUUAAUUCGAUAAUUAUUUGAGUCCAUCAUAGAUUUGGAGAAGUCCAGAUUCUUUUAUAAAUUAGCUUUUGUUCAGUCUUCUAGUUUUGUUUUUGUUCAAAAAACAAGGUUUUUCUCAUCUUUUCCCUUGAACAAACUCAAAAUGUUUUACAUUUUUGUUAGUUUCAUGGACAUUUUCAUGUGAUCAAGAAGGCAUGGGGACUACAAGUCAAUAACAGGUGGAUAUAUAUACUUCCUUUUUUCUUGCAGCCAACUGCAUCUAUACAUCUCCUGCGAUGCCUUUCUGUAAGGGGUGGAUGUGCAAGACCGAAUGUUGGACUGAGGCGAAACUGAUUGGAGCUACUGUUACGGGACGCCAGUGUAUGAAAGGAGGGUUCCAUGGCUGGUGUUCCUGCUAUUUAUGCAAAAACUAGGUUCAUUUUAAUUUGCAAAAUGGUUGGAGAUAUCAUCAUCGGAAGAAUAAAUCGAUAGGUGUCAUGUCUUUUGAUAGUCUCGUCUCAGUAAUUUAGGACAAUAAUGCAGUCUUUUAUAGUUUUCUCCGUUUGCCUUGGCAUGCUACUGCCUAGUACAAUUGUAUUAAAAUCUUUGUUACAAUUGCAAUUUUUGACUAGUUUGUUUGCUCAUUUCUAGUUUUUGUGAAAAGUACUUGCUCAUUAUUGGUUGAACUAUAAUGAUUCGCAAUGUGGAAUUUUACGUGUUU
rnacentral:lncRNA from 1 species